rnacentral:rRNA from 1 species
UACGUAGGAGGCAAGCGUUGUCCGGAAUUACUGGGCGUAAAGCGCGUGUAGGUGGUGGGACAAGUCUGCUGUGAAAGCGCCUGGCUUAACCGGGCGAGGUCGGCGGAAACUGUUCGACUCGAGGACGGUAGAGGGGGGUGGAAUUCCCGGUGUAGUGGUGAAAUGCGCAGAUAUCAGGAGGAACACCGAUGGCGAAGGCAGGUCUCUGGGCCACUACUGACGCUGAGAAGCGAAAGCAUGGGGAGCGAACAGG